UUCUUUCUGCAGAUUCUCGAAGACGUCAAGACUCAUUGUGUUUAAGUCAUAGAGUUUGUUUAGGAGUUGCGAAAUUAUAAUUUUGUAUUUUCUUUGAAUUUUUCACGCGAGAAGUUCAUUGUUUUGGUGAUGGCAAUGAAUUUCAUUUUUUUUGUUUGGAGAGUUGAGCGUUGUGAGUAUUUUGAUAUAUUUUUUAGUUUUGUCACGAAAUUGCCAAAGGGGGAGAUUGUUACGGAUUUUAUGUUGGCAUAUUUCGUGAUGUUAGUCAGAGUCUUGAAUGUUUGAAGAAGAAGAGAUGAAAAUCGAAGACUCGAAGACUCAAAACAUGAAUGCAUAAUGCUUGGUAAGUUUAAAUACCAUUGAUGAUGAUUUAUAAAUGUUUAAAAGUGUUUGGAAGACUUAGGAUGGUUUUUAAAAUAUGAAUCUGGACAAACUGAGUUUUUCAAUGUGCUAGGA
rnacentral:lncRNA from 1 species